rnacentral:rRNA from 1 species
UACGGGGAGCAAGCGUUGUUCGGAUUUACUGGGCGUAAAGGGCGCGUAGGCGGCGUGGCAAGUCACUUGUGAAAUCUCCGGGCUUAACUCGGAACGGUCAAGUGAUACUGCUGUGCUAGAGUGCGGAAGGGCAACUGGAAUUCUUGGUGUAGCGGUGAAAUGCGUAGAUAUCAAGAGGAACACCUGCGGCGAAGGCGGGUUGCUGGGCCGACACGUGACGCUGAGGCGCGAAAGCUAGGGGAGCGAACGGG